AGCGUACACGGUGGAUGCCCUGGCAGUCAGAGGCGAUGAAGGACGUGCUAAUCUGCGAUAAGCGUCGGUAAGGUGAUAUGAACCGUUAUAACCGGCGAUUUCCGAAUGGGGAAACCCAGUGUGUUUCGACACACUAUCAUUAACUGAAUCCAUAGGUUAAUGAGGCGAACCGGGGGAACUGAAACAUCUAAGUACCCCGAGGAAAAGAAAUCAACCGAGAUUCCCCCAGUAGCGGCGAGCGAACGGGGAGCAGCCCAGAGCCUGAAUCAGUGUGUGUGUUAGUGGAAGCGUCUGGAAAGGCGCGCGAUACAGGGUGACAGCCCCGUACACAAAAAUGCACAUGCUGUGAGCUCGAUGAGUAGGGCGGGACACGUGGUAUCCUGUCUGAAUAUGGGGGGACCAUCCUCCAAGGCUAAAUACUCCUGACUGACCGAUAGUGAACCAGUACCGUGAGGGAAAGGCGAAAAGAACCCCGGCGAGGGGAGUGAAAAAGAACCUGAAACCGUGUACGUACAAGCAGUGGGAGCACGCUUAGGCGUGUGACUGCGUACCUUUUGUAUAAUGGGUCAGCGACUUAUAUUCUGUAGCAAGGUUAACCGAAUAGGGGAGCCGAAGGGAAACCGAGUCUUAACUGGGCGUUAAGUUGCAGGGUAUAGACCCGAAACCCGGUGAUCUAGCCAUGGGCAGGUUGAAGGUUGGGUAACACUAACUGGAGGACCGAACCGACUAAUGUUGAAAAAUUAGCGGAUGACUUGUGGCUGGGGGUGAAAGGCCAAUCAAACCGGGAGAUAGCUGGUUCUCCCCGAAAGCUAUUUAGGUAGCGCCUCGUGAACUCAUCUCCGGGGGUAGAGCACUGUUUCGGCAAGGGGGUCAUCCCGACUUACCAACCCGAUGCAAACUGCGAAUACCGGAGAAUGUUAUCACGGGAGACACACGGCGGGUGCUAACGUCCGUCGUGAAGAGGGAAACAACCCAGACCGCCAGCUAAGGUCCCAAAGUCAUGGUUAAGUGGGAAACGAUGUGGGAAGGCCCAGACAGCCAGGAUGUUGGCUUAGAAGCAGCCAUCAUUUAAAGAAAGCGUAAUAGCUCACUGGUCGAGUCGGCCUGCGCGGAAGAUGUAACGGGGCUAAACCAUGCACCGAAGCUGCGGCAGCGACGCUUAUGCGUUGUUGGGUAGGGGAGCGUUCUGUAAGCCUGUGAAGGUGUGCUGUGAGGCAUGCUGGAGGUAUCAGAAGUGCGAAUGCUGACAUAAGUAACGAUAAAGCGGGUGAAAAGCCCGCUCGCCGGAAGACCAAGGGUUCCUGUCCAACGUUAAUCGGGGCAGGGUGAGUCGACCCCUAAGGCGAGGCCGAAAGGCGUAGUCGAUGGGAAACAGGUUAAUAUUCCUGUACUUGGUGUUACUGCGAAGGGGGGACGGAGAAGGCUAUGUUGGCCGGGCGACGGUUGUCCCGGUUUAAGCGUGUAGGCUGGUUUUCCAGGCAAAUCCGGAAAAUCAAGGCUGAGGCGUGAUGACGAGGCACUACGGUGCUGAAGCAACAAAUGCCCUGCUUCCAGGAAAAGCCUCUAAGCAUCAGGUAACAUCAAAUCGUACCCCAAACCGACACAGGUGGUCAGGUAGAGAAUACCAAGGCGCUUGAGAGAACUCGGGUGAAGGAACUAGGCAAAAUGGUGCCGUAACUUCGGGAGAAGGCACGCUGAUAUGUAGGUGAAGCGACUUGCUCGUGGAGCUGAAAUCAGUCGAAGAUACCAGCUGGCUGCAACUGUUUAUUAAAAACACAGCACUGUGCAAACACGAAAGUGGACGUAUACGGUGUGACGCCUGCCCGGUGCCGGAAGGUUAAUUGAUGGGGUUAGCGCAAGCGAAGCUCUUGAUCGAAGCCCCGGUAAACGGCGGCCGUAACUAUAACGGUCCUAAGGUAGCGAAAUUCCUUGUCGGGUAAGUUCCGACCUGCACGAAUGGCGUAAUGAUGGCCAGGCUGUCUCCACCCGAGACUCAGUGAAAUUGAACUCGCUGUGAAGAUGCAGUGUACCCGCGGCAAGACGGAAAGACCCCGUGAACCUUUACUAUAGCUUGACACUGAACAUUGAGCCUUGAUGUGUAGGAUAGGUGGGAGGCUUUGAAGUGUGGACGCCAGUCUGCAUGGAGCCGACCUUGAAAUACCACCCUUUAAUGUUUGAUGUUCUAACGUUGACCCGUAAUCCGGGUUGCGGACAGUGUCUGGUGGGUAGUUUGACUGGGGCGGUCUCCUCCUAAAGAGUAACGGAGGAGCACGAAGGUUGGCUAAUCCUGGUCGGACAUCAGGAGGUUAGUGCAAUGGCAUAAGCCAGCUUGACUGCGAGCGUGACGGCGCGAGCAGGUGCGAAAGCAGGUCAUAGUGAUCCGGUGGUUCUGAAUGGAAGGGCCAUCGCUCAACGGAUAAAAGGUACUCCGGGGAUAACAGGCUGAUACCGCCCAAGAGUUCAUAUCGACGGCGGUGUUUGGCACCUCGAUGUCGGCUCAUCACAUCCUGGGGCUGAAGUAGGUCCCAAGGGUAUGGCUGUUCGCCAUUUAAAGUGGUACGCGAGCUGGGUUUAGAACGUCGUGAGACAGUUCGGUCCCUAUCUGCCGUGGGCGCUGGAGAACUGAGGGGGGCUGCUCCUAGUACGAGAGGACCGGAGUGGACGCAUCACUGGUGUUCGGGUUGUCAUGCCAAUGGCACUGCCCGGUAGCUAAAUGCGGAAGAGAUAAGUGCUGAAAGCAUCUAAGCACGAAACUUGCCCCGAGAUGAGUUCU
rnacentral:rRNA from 1 species